rnacentral:rRNA from 1 species
UCUAUUUGAAGAUAUAAAAAGUCGGGCCUGCUCACUGACAAAAAAUUUAAGAGCCGCGGUAUUAUGACCGUGCAAAGGUAGCAUAAUCAUUAGGUUUUUAAAUGAGAUCUUGUAUGAAUGGUUGGACAAAGGAAAAGCUGUCUUUAUUUUAAAAUUUGAAUUUUACUUUUGAGUGAGAAGGCUUAAAUAUUUUAGAGGGACGAUAAGACCCUAUAAAGCUUUACAUUGUAAUUAUAUUUAAUUGAAAUUAAAGAAAUUAAAAAUUUAAUUUAAGAAUAUGUUUUAUUGGGGAGAUAAAAGUAUAAAUUAUAUUAACUGCUUUAAUAAAAAACAAUUUUAUUAAUGAAUUGUUAAUUUUAAGAGAUCCUAUAGAUGAUAUAGAAAAAAGGUUAAGUUACUUUAGGGAUAACAGUGUAAUUUUUUUUGAGAGUUCAUAUCGAAAAAAAAGUUUGCAACCUCGAUGUUGAAUUAAAAUAUCUAUAUAAUGUAGCUGUUAUAUAAGAAGGUCUGUUCGACCUUUAAUUU